rnacentral:misc_RNA from 1 species
UUUCCGUAGGUGAACCUGCGGAAGGAUCAUUACAGAGUUCAUGCCCUCACGGGUAGAUCUCCCACCCUUGAACAUUUAUACCUUAGUUGCUUUGGCAGGCCGUGGAAACACCAUGGGCUGCGGCUUAUGCGUGCCUGCCAGAUGAAACAAACUCUGUUUUUAGUGAUGUCUGAGUACUAUAUAAUAGUUAAAACUUUCAACAACGGAUCUCUUGGUUCUG